ensembl:lncRNA
GUCGCCAAUAGUCCCUGUCAUGUGCUCAGAGCUUCCAAUUAGCUGUUUAGUCCCUAGUCUUACAUAUGAGCAGAACGUUCAAUGAUUACUGAGGAAAACCGCAUACAUGAGAAAGACCAAAAAAUAUCAACCAACCAACCACAGCAAAACAGAAAACAUCAGUGAGAGGGAAAUGUCCAAAACUAAAAGGAAGCAAUCAUUAUUUUCAGAGGAAGAGGGCCAGAACAAGAACCAAGCACAGGAUGCUUGCUGUUUAGCAAGAGCAUUCAGAGAACAAAGCAUGGUUUUGGGAAAUAAAAAUAUGAUAGAAAUAAAAAACUCAAUAAAAUAUUUGGAAGAUAAGCUGAAGCAAUCUUCCAGAAAAUAGAGUUUAAAAAGAAAUGAAAAAAAAACAGUAAAGAUAAGAAGUCUUAUAUGGGGAUUUACCUAGUGGUCCAGUGGUUAAGACUCCAAGCUUCCAGUUUAGGGGAUGAGGUUUUUCGAUUCCUAGUUGGGGACCCAAGAUUCCACAGGGCCCCAGUGUGGCAAAAAUAAACUAAACAAACAUAAUUCAUUCCUAAGAAGUCCUAUAUGGUAUGUCAAAGACUGAAAAACAGAAAUUCCAGGAAAAGACAACAAAGAAAGCAGAGAAAAGGAAAUUAUAAACAAAGUAACACAAGGAAACUUCCCAGAAGAGAAUGCAAGUUUAUGGUUUGAAAAUAUCACCCAAGUGCCCAGAAUAAGAGAUGAAAAUAGAACUUUAUACAUGUCAUUUCAAAACAGUAGAGAAAAAAAUCAUGUUCUACAAAUUGCGAGAUACAGAGAGGGAAGCAGAGGGAACGGUCACAUACAAAGGUCAGGAUAUAAAUGAUCCCAGAGCUCUCAAAGCAACACUGGAAACUAGAAGCCAGACUCCAGGGAGUGCCAUAUUGGGAUAUUCACAUCCUCAGGUGUAGAAUUCUUCCACACUGAUCAAACCAGUCAAUCCUACAGGAUAGCAACCCUGAAUAGUCAUUGGAAGGACCCAUGCUGAAGCUCCCAUACUUUGGCAACUGAUGUGAAGAGCUGACUCAGUGGAAAAGACCAGAUGCUGGGAAAGACUGAAGGCAAAAGGGGUCACAGAGGAUGGUUAGAUAGCAUCACUGACUCAUGUAUGGACAUGAAUUGGAGCAAACUUCAGGAGAUAGCGGAGGACAGAGGAGCCUGGUGUGCUGCAGUCCAAGGUAUCACUAAGAGCUGGACACAACUUAGCAACUGAACAGCAACACAGGACACGGCUGAAAGCAUGGUAUGUGAUGUGUGCUGAUGCAUUUGAGGCAUCCCAAAGUCCACCUGGCUCUCU